AAGUCAUUACUACUGCUAUGCUCACUGCCCCCUUCCUAUGAUCCAUUGAUGACGAUACUGUUCUGUGGCAAGGAGACCCUGGAGUAUGAAGACAUGGUCUCGGUGCUAUGUUCCAAUGAACAAUGAGAGAAGUUGACCAAGGAAGGUGCUCCCCAGGAGAGCUUGGCCCUGGAGGAGAAAUCAAGAAAAGAAAAAGAGGCAAGUCAAGGGGACGGUCAAAAUCUUGAAAGAGCAGGAGCAAGAAGGAAGCCAGGUGCUACAAGUGCAACGAGAUCGGGUACUUCAAACAAGAUUGCCCG
rnacentral:lncRNA from 1 species